rnacentral:rRNA from 1 species
UGUAUCCUACGGGAGGCAGCAGUAGGGAAUAUUGCUCAAUGGGGGAAACCCUGAAGCAGCAACGCCGCGUGGAGGAUGAAGAUUUUCGGAUUGUAAACUCCUUUUGUUAGAGAAGAUAAUGACGGUAUCUAACGAAUAAGCCACGGCUAACUACGUGCCAGCAGCCGCGGUAAUACGUAGGUGGCAAGCGUUGUCCGGAUUUACUGGGUGUAAAGGGCGUGUAGCCGGGCUGACAAGUCAGAUGUGAAAUCCGGGGGCUCAACCCCCGAACUGCAUUUGAAACUGUUGGUCUUGAGUAUCGGAGA